rnacentral:rRNA from 1 species
AACGAACGCUGGCGGCAGGCUUAACACAUGCAAGUCGAACGCCCCGCCAGGGCUGUGGCCGACUGGUGAGUAACGCGUGGGAACAUACCCUUUCCUGCGGAAUAGCUCCGGCAAACUGGAAUUAAUACCACAUACGCCCUACGGGGGGAAGAUUUAUCGGGGAAGGAUUGGCGCGCGUUGGAUUAGCUAGUUGGUGGGGUAAAGGCCUACCAAGGCGACGAUCCAUAGCUGGUCUGAGAGGAUGAUAAGCCACAUUGGGACUGAGACACGGACCACACUCCUACGGGAGGCAGCAGUAGGGAAUAUUGGACACUGGGCGCAAGCCUGAUCCAGCCAUGCCGCGUGAGUGAUGAAGGCCUUAGGGUUGUAAAGCUCUUUCACCGAUGAAGAUAAUGACGGUAGUCGGAGAAGAAGCCCCGGCUAACUUCGUG